rnacentral:rRNA from 1 species
CCUACGGGAGGCAGCAGUGGGGAAUAUUGCACAAUGGGGGAAACCCUGAUGCAGCGACGCCGCGUGAGUGAAGAAGUACUUCGGUAUGUAAAGCUCUGUCAGCAGGGAAGAAAAGGACGGUACCUGACCAAGAAGCCCCGGCUAACUACGGGCCAGCAGCCGCGGUAAUAUGAAGGGGGCAAGCGUUAUCCGGAUUUACUGGGUGUAAAGGGAGCGUAGACGGCAGGGCAUGUCUGGAGUGAAAGGCGGGGGCUCAACCCCCGGACUGCUCUGGAAACUGCCAGGCUGGAGUGCAGGAGAGGUAAGUGGAAUUCCUAGUGUAGCGGUGAAAUGCGUAGAUAUUAGGAGGAACACCAGUGGCGAAGGCGGCUUACUGGACUGUAACUGACGUUGAGGCUCGAAAGCGUGGGGAGCAAACAGGAUUAGAUACCCCAGUAGUC